UUUAAUCAUUAAUUAUUUUGUUACUUUUAUUCGUUUAUUUAUCCAUCAACUUUCUUAUUUACAUGUUGUUCAUUCAUUUAGCCAUUCUUAUCAUUCUUUUAUUUUUUUUCCAUUAAUUAUAUACUUCAUUUGUUUUUAAUAUUAUGUCACACAUGUUGUUUAUUUUUUAAAAACUCGUGUUAUAAAUCAUCCAUUUUAAAUUAUUUGAUUAUUUGCUUUAAAUUUUUUUCCAUAUAUUAUCAAUUGCAAUUUAUUUUUUUAUCCUAUCUAUUUUUCCCAUAUUUUGGCCCUUAGUUUGGUUUUAUUCUCAUUUUUUUCCUUUUAAUUC
rnacentral:lncRNA from 1 species